AUUGAACGCUGGCGGCAGGCCUAACACAUGCAAGUCGAGCGGAUGAAGGGAGCUUGCUCCUGGAUUCAGCGGCGGACGGGUGAGUAAUGCCUAGGAAUCUGCCUGGUAGUGGGGGAUAACGUCCGGAAACGGGCGCUAAUACCGCAUACGUCCUGCGGGAGAAAGUGGGGGAUCUUCGGACCUCACGCUAUCAGAUGAGCCUAGGUCGGAUUAGCUAGUUGGUGGGGUAAAGGCCUACCAAGGCGACGAUCCGUAACUGGUCUGAGAGGAUGAUAAGUCACACUGGAACUGAGACACGGUCCAGACUCCUGAGGGAGGCAGCAGUGGGGAAUAUUAGACAAUGGGCGAAAGCCUGGUCCAGCCAUGCCGCGUGUGUGAAGAAGGUCUUCGGAUUGUAAAGCACUUUAAGUUGGGAGGAAGGGCAGUAAGUUAAUACCUUGCUGUUUUGACGUUACCAACAGAAUAAGCACCGGCUAACUUCGUG
rnacentral:rRNA from 1 species